rnacentral:tRNA from 1 species
GCCCGGUUAGCUCAGUUGCUCGAGGACCAAACUCGUAAUCUGGCUGUCGCGGGUUCGAGCCCCACAUCGGGCU